AUGGACAUGGCAAAGCAUGCGGAUAACCGACAUUCCAGGCAAGAAAACACCAUCGGUUAUGUACAAAGGUUCCUGUGUUGCUCCUGCUUCCAGACGGGUGAGAAUGACUGCUUGGAGUACAAUCAGGAAAAGCCACAGAAUCCCAAGGCUGUUGUGGAUGAAGAGAACGUCCUUAUCGUUGUUGAAGAUUUGGGAAUAGACAACCCUGGAUUUAGCCUUUCUGAAGUUGAGCACUGCGGUCCACCUCAACAGAUCACCAUGGGCCGUUCUGCUAGUUCUGUGUCUAUGUGCCAAAGAGCAGCUCUGAAGAAGAAGCUCGCACCACUUUCCUCUUUACCGCUUCAGUCUAGAGCGAUCCAGAACAGUGAGGACGACUCUACUGUUGACUCUCUCCUGUACGGUUCUGGCAGCACUAAUGUUGGAGAUGGUAGUCUUCUCACUCCACCAGUCAUUAACCUCAUACCUCCGACACCUUCCGACGUAAUAGAUGAUGAUCAGUUCUUUGACAUAAACUCAGAAGAAGACAGUCUGCAGCAAACGUCAGGCAGCGAAGGAGUAGACAGUAUUGGCAGUGCUGCUAUGGGAGAGCAAGAGAGUGAGGAAGAUGUAGACCAAGACUUGGAGUCUGAAGGUAAUCAUAAGACCAAAGAUGAAGAACAUCCACAGGUGGAGCCUCCAGAGGAAGAAAUGGCCAAGAAGAAGAGCAUAGACAAGUCUACAAUCCACUUCCUGCGUAGCACCUUUCAUGUACCCCCUCUUCCUGAAUACCCACGAAAAAGGAGCCUCAAUACUGGAAUCAGUUUGCUGCAGUUCACUGAACAUAAUCUAGAUGACCUGAGCAACAAGGAUGCCUGCAGCCAUGAGUUGCUAAAGGAAGAGUUGAGGCUACUACCGCUGAGCAGUAAGAUAAGCAUGUUAACACACCAAAAGAAACCUGCCACUAGGUCCUGUAGUUUGGGCGAUACGGCGCAACAAAGUCAUACCUUUCACUCCACAUGUCAAGAAAGAGAUGAAAUCCUUGAAGAUGAGGAAUCCCCACGCCAAAGGAGGAUAACUGUUGCAUCAUACAUUCCGCAGUCCAAAGACCAUACUGGAAAAAGUGUAGUGAAGUCGAAUUCUAAUGGGUAUAGAGCCAAAUCUUUAGCAGAGCUGAACACAGAGGAGGUUUGCCAGUGGUUUAGUAAUAUUGGUCUACAGAAAUGCCUGCCCUUCAUUAGAGAGGCAGAGUUCAGUGGGUCCCACAUCGCUUCUAUUGAUCUCAACACCCUCGAAAUCCUUCAAGUGUCCAAUCUGGAGGAAAGAGAGAGGCUGCUGUCUGCCAUUUACCAUGAGUUACACCCGCCAAACUCCACCAGCCAAAGACUCGACUCCCUCCUUGAAAGAUUUGGUCCACACAAUGUUGAGAAAUUCACAGCAGCUUUGGUUUCCAUGACCAAGUCAAAAUCUUCUCCUCAAGUUAGCAGCAUCAACAUGAACCAAUGUUCAUUCAAAUUCAGACAGAAAGAACAAAAUGCAAAAAUUCAGAAGAACUCGCAUCUCAUUGAAAUCACAGUCAAUGUGUCAGAUCGAACAGUUCAUUUAAGGACCCCCAAAGAGACAAGUGUGGGAAAAGUGGUGGAGUCCUGUCUGAGGAUGCUGGGAAUUAAUGAAGACAAAGAUCACUUCAACCUAAAAAGCAGUGAAGAUGAGUUCUCCCCUGAGCAGCAGAUUGGAGAUUUGCCUGGCUCAGAGACGAGACUAAUGGAACUUCACUUAUAUAGGAAGGAAACACAGAAAGCGGGUCCUUAUUCAUCAGAUAACAACAUUAUUAGUACCACUGACAAUAUUCCGAGCAAAAAUCUGCUAAACAACACUGGGAAGAUUCAAAAGCUAAAUCAACAGGUGGCCUCCCUUCAAAACGUCAUCAUACAGGUUCAGGAGCUUUACCAUGGUCUGGUAGCCUUCUGUUCAGAGCUGAAGAAGAUGGAGGGGGAGAUGGAUGCAGUGCAAACAGACAGCUUUGAAGUGAAGAGGCUUCUCAGUGAGGCCCAGGACAAUCUGCAAAGGAAAAGACAGAGUCUUCAAACGCUCAGGGACAAUCUUAACACUGCACCAGUGCAGAAGAAUAAGCCAUCAGAGGUCCGACUUCUGGAGAAGAUGAGGCUAAACUGCCAGGUGUUUAAAGACGAGAUCACACUAGUCCACCUCAAUCGACAGGUGGCUCACCUGCGUGAAGUUCUGGAGAAGACACAGGCCAAGGAGAAAGCCAAGAGGAAGAGCCCUACUCUGACUCAGCUGGUCUCUUUGCAGUCUCCUGUCAUGCUGGUGGCCACCCAAGUGAAAGCAGACCCAGACGGUCAUUACGGUUUCUCUGCGCACUGGGUAGAGGGCCAGGGCCUGAUGGUGGUACAUAGUGAGGGUGCUAAUCUCUGCCUGAAUGACAGGCUGGUGGAGGUUAACGGAGUGGACGUCUUGGGGAGCAGUGAGGAUGAGUUGGAGCUGAUGCUUAAGACACACACUGCCCACAUUGUUGUUCUUCGCCAGCUGGCCCAAGAACUUCCACAGGAAGACCCAUCUGCCCCCACUUCAGACAGAUUUCUGCUCUGAGGGAUCAACAGGACAUACAAAUGCUGCAGAAACAUCAAGCAAUGUAAACCAACUAAACACUGUCCAGAUUAAUACUUUCUUUCCUGUCUUACUGGAGGAACACACUCAGACACACCUGAAUUGGUCAUAUCUUAUGUUUUAUCCCACUUAUUACUAUAAUGACAUUUGUCUUGUAAGAGAAGAGGAUUAUAUGUUCACCCUGCAUUACAGUCUCUGGGUCAUUUCAGGGCAGUUUCAUUUUUGGGUGUUUUUGGGUUUAUACAAAUGUAAUAGCCAUAGUCUCAAUUAAUGGGUGGGUCAGUCAAAAACUGCUCAUAAAAAUGGCAAUUUUUGGCAAAAUGGGCAUUUUGAAUUCUAAAUUGCAUUGAACCAUGAAGGUCAAGUUGGCAAAAUAACUUUCACUUUGUACACUUUUUUAAAAAGCAGCUGUGGUGAAAUAGGAGGCAAGGAAACUUCCUGUAAGACUGACAUUAAUAAAAAUACAGAUAUCAAAGCA
ensembl:lncRNA